GUGAGACGGUGCAUUGUUCUAGUGACAGGCUGAAUAUGUCAGUGAGACAGUGCAUUGUUCUAGUGACAGGCUGAACUUGUGUUUAAACUUGUCAUACAGAGCUGUUCCAGUAACUAUGUAGCCAGUCUCUGCAGUUUAACACUCACUAUACAGAGCUGUUCCAGUAAAUAUGUAGUCAGUCUUGUUGUUUCACACCUCACUACACUGUUAAUGGACAUCACUUCCUUUAUUAUAACCUGUCAGUGGAAGGCAUUUGAAUGCAGCUGCCGUGUGUGUGUGUGGUCUUUGUGUGUGUGCAUGUGUCUGUGUGUGUGUAUCUGUGAGUGUGUGUGUCUUUGUGUGUGUGUGAGUUUGUGUGUGUGUGUCUGCGUGUGUGUGUGUGUGUCUGUGUUUGUGUCUGUGUGUGUCUGUGUGUGUGUGUCUCUGUGUCUGUUUGUCUGUGUGUGUGUGUUUGUGUGUCUGUGUGUGUGCUCAUGUGCAUGUUUGUGUGUAGGUAUGUAUAGCAGGAAAUCACCUGCCUUUGAUAGAAAAGCAAUAUGCAAAACACAGAAAUAAAUUAUAUCAACAACCACUGAUCUACACUAUACUAUACUAUACUACACUACAACACACUAUACUAUACUAUACUACACUACACUACACUACACUACAAAACACUAUACUACACUACAAUACACUACAAAACACUAUACUAUACUAUGCUAUACUAUGCUGACAAAACACUAUACUAUACUGUGCUAUACUAUGCUGACAAGGUGGGAUGAGGCUGGAUAAGUCUGGAUGACUGAGGUUAGAUAAGAAUGGGUGUGUCUAGGUGAG
ensembl:lncRNA